GGAAGGAUCAUUAUCAUGUGCAUCCGCCUUAUUCACCCAUCGCGAAUUGUUUUCAUUUCUAAUUCUAUUUUUUCACCUUUUUCACCUUCGAAAUUUGCCUCAUUCAUAGGUCAGUGGUAUACUCGUAUACCUCUACCCUUGUUGAUGUGUUGUUUUACCCUCUGUAAUUUCAACUCUCUUUAACACCUAACCAAUAACUCCUGUCGAUGGAUGGCUAGGCUCUCGCAACGAUGAAGACCGCAGCGAAGUGCGAUAUCUAAUGCGAAUUGCAAAGCUCAGUGAAUCAUUCAGUUGUUGAACGCAAAUGGCGCUCUCGGAUUCUAGUCUGGGAGCACGCCUCUCUCAGUAUCGGUUCGAUCAUAUAGCACAUCAACACGAGCAUAGGGUUAUACCUGUGCUCGGGUUGGAGAAUGAGAGUCUGAGAGGAGUCGAUUCAUCGAGCUCCAUUUAGUCUCUUCAAGUACAUGGAAUUUCCCUUAGUUCAAGCCUCCCCUCCUCCCUCCUCACCUGUUCGAUUCUUCGAUUGCGAUGGCAGUCUCGGAAUGGAAGGGUCACUCACAUGUUUGGGUGCGUGUGGACUGAGAUUGGAAUUGGAUGGCAUUGGAUCGAGUGGAAGUAAGACGUAAUGAUGGACCCUUCUGGGUCGUUCUCAGCACGUGUAACUUCUCUCUCCACUGCCUCACUCCACUCCUGCAUAUCUCUCUCUAUCACGUACUCUCUCACUGUGGAUACUCUUUCGUCUAGGUCUGCUCGCUUCAACUUCGGUUGGAACACAUCCUAUUGUAUGGAACGUCUCAGGUGGUUGGUUCGAGUCGAUGCUACUCUGUAACUGUGGAAGUGUUCGAGGUAUGGUGCCCCCUCACCAUCAACCCCUUGAUUCUCUAUGGGUCGAUCCUCGCGAUCGUCCUCUAUGGGUCUCUGUCUGGGUUGCCCCCUUGGUUCUAAACAUUUGAUCUGAGAUGAAGCGAGAUAACCCCCUGAAUUUAAGCAUAUUAAUAAGGGGAGGAAAAGAAAGUAAAAACGAUCCCUCUAGUAACGGCGAGUGAAGCAGGGAGAGCUCACUUUGAGAAUCGAGUCCCCCAACGGGUCCUCGAAUUGUGUGCUAUGGAGUAUGUAUCAGCUACGACCUGGAUCUAAUUUCACUGGAACGUGAAUGCUGAGAGGGUGACACACCCGUAUCCGAUCCAAGCCUGUACGUAGCGUACGAUCAUGCUUCUUCGAGUCGAGUUGUUUGGGAUUGCAGCUCUAAAUGGGUCGUAUGCUUGACCUAAAGCUAAAUAAUGGCGAGAGACCGAUAGCGAACAAGUACCGUGAGGGAAAGCUGAAAAGGACCCCGGAAGGGGAGCGAAAAGUACCUGAAAUCGGCUGGAGGGAAGCGAUGGCAACCAGUGAGUUCCAAGGCUUUCAUCGCGUUCCAUACCACUAGUUGGGGGUCCAUGUGGGUAACCCAUGGGUCACCAACGAAAGGGAGGUGGAACGUUCAGGAAGUCGGGGGUGUCAAGAUCCAUUCGGAUGGGGGGAGAAGGAGUAGGGAAAGGUAGGAGAUCCGUCUCUGUUUAGUCCUUGCUCUCUACCUCUAUCUGGAUGGAGGUUAGUAAUAGUGCGCCGCUUGCGGCUUAGUCCCUUGUCUCUACUGUCUUCCGUUGUUUUGAUCGCAAUGCUAUCCUGAUGAUGUAAUGCAGUACUAGGUGAGGUCGACUCUUUGUGCUAUCACGAUCUUGUACGAAAUGGUUGUCAUCGACCCGUCUUGAAAACACGGACCAAGGAGUCUAACAUCUAUGCGAGUGUUUGGGUGUCUAAAACCCGAACGCGAAAUGAAAGUAAAGGUAGACUCGUUCUACUGGGGUAGGAAACCCGCAAGGGUAGCACUAUCGACCGAUCGUCACUUGUGAAAGAUUUGAGUAGGAGCAUAUCUGUUGGGACCCGAAAGAUGGUGAUCUAUGCCUGAACAGGGUGAAGCCACGUGAAAACGUGGUGGAGGCUCGUAGCGAUACUGACGUGCAAGGACAAAUUGACGCGUUAAAUAAAUGUUAUACAGUAACACUAGUUGAACCAUCCAUACGUUUCAACUAUAUACUCCAAUUGCAGGGACAUAAUCCAAUCUAUGUGUAUGAACUCAACUAUGGGAUCGCAUCGAUCGAUAGUAGCCAAAUCCAUCAUGAUUUGGGUAUAGUCAUAUUCAAACACACAGUCACUAUUAUCAACCCGCAGCAGAUGCUUCUAUUCAUAUGGGAUCAUCAGUUCACAGACUAAAUGAGUAUACUCUAUGAUCAUCAUGCAGAUGAUGAGAAGAGUAAGAUAUAGUAGGCAUCAUGAUAAAUUUAUGUAUGUGGCAAAUCGUUCGUCUGAUUUGGGUAUAGGGGCAAAAGACUAAUCGAACCAUCUAGUAGCUGGUUCCCUC
rnacentral:misc_RNA from 1 species